rnacentral:rRNA from 1 species
ACAUGCAAGUCGAGCGGGCGAGGUUGCUUCGGUAACUGAGCUAGCGGCGGACGGGUGAGUAAUGCUUAGGAAUCUGCCUAUUAGUGGGGGACAACAUUCCGAAAGGAAUGCUAAUACCGCAUACGCCCUACGGGGGAAAGCAGGGGAUCUUCGGACCUUGCGCUAAUAGAUGAGCCUAAGUCAGAUUAGCUAGUUGGUGGGGUAAAGGCCUACCAAGGCGACGAUCUGUAGCGGGUCUGAGAGGAUGAUCCGCCACACUGGGACUGAGACACGGCCCAGACUCCUACGGGAGGCAGCAGUGGGGAAUAUUGGACAAUGGGCGNAAGCCUGAUCCAGCCAUGCCGCGUGUGUGAAGAAGGCCUUUUGGUUGUAAAGCACUUUAAGCGAGGAGGAGGCUACUUGGAUUAAUACUCUAGGAUAGUGGACGUUACUCGCAGAAUAAGCACCGGCUAACUCUGUGCCAGCAGCCGCGGUAAUACAGAGGGUGCGAGCGUUAAUCGGAUUUACUGGGCGUAAAGCGUGCGUAGGCGGCUUUUUAAGUCGGAUGUGAAAUCCCUGAGCUUAACUUAGGAAUUGCAUUCGAUACUGGGAAGCUAGAGUAUGGGAGAGGAUGGUAGAAUUCCAGGUGUAGCGGUGAAAUGCGUAGAGAUCUGGAGGAAUACCGAUGGCGAAGGCAGCCAUCUGGCCUAAUACUGACGCUGAGGUACGAAAGCAUGGGGAGCAAACAGGAUUAGAUACCCUGGUAGUCCAUGCCGUAAACGAUGUCUACUAGCCGUUGGGGCCUUUGAGGCUUUAGUGGCGCAGCU